rnacentral:tRNA from 1 species
GGAGAGGUGGCAGAGUGGUCGAAUGCGCUGCACUCGAAAUGCAGUAUCCGGGCAACCGUAUCGAGGGUUCGAAUCCCUCCCUCUCCGCCA